UUUGAUUCUUUGGGUGAAGUCGUCUACACAGAGGAUUUUUUCCUUUGUGAUUGUGUAUCUUUUGCACACUUAAAGGGUAUUGAUUGAUAAGAAACAGGGGUAAACAGCAGCACAGGGAACAGAAACGCCUGUCCCCUUUCAAAGGUGUGUUUUGAGAAGGUAUUUUGACCUAAUGUUUCACCUUCUUUCUUCUGUUGUGUUUCCUUUUCCUUUCAUUUUAAUCAUAAGUCAUCUGCCUUCCCAUUUACAAAAUUGCUUAUUUUCUGAAAAAGCCAUGUGAAUACUACUACUCUUUAGUAUCAAUACAUAUUUACAAGUAUACAAUUUAAUAAGCACAAAAUGAAAUUUAGGGAUAACCUUGCUAUUUGCAUCUUUAUAUUGCUUUUUACUUUUGAAUAAAGAAAAUAAAAUUCGAUCAUCUGUAUGACAUAGGAGAAAAUGAACUUAUCUCCACACCUAUGCAUAUAAACAUAUCGUAGUUAAUAUAGAUCAAUGCAGUUUUUAUUUACCUGCUGUGGUCGAAGUAUGUGACUUGAAGAACAUUACUAAUCAUACUAAUUUUUUGUUGUAUUCCUAAGAUUUCAAUGACCACCAUUCUUCCAUCCCUCUGUAGAUACAGGAAAUGUUCAAAGUGACUCAUCAGCUUAUUUAUGACUUUCUUUCAUCACAGUUUGGCUCAAAAACUAUCUGCAGAAGUUAAAGGCAAUCAGAAAGAUAUAGAAAUAGAAUGGUUUGCUUGAUGGGGGUGGGGGGAGCAGGAGCAGGGGAUUCCAAUAAAGAAGAUGAAAUCAAAUGGAAGCCAGAAAAGGAGGGAACAAACAAAACAAAGGCACAGGAAUAAAAAGCACAACAUAUAUAAUAACUGGAUGAAAACAAAGUUUUUAAAUGGUAGCCCAGCAAAAUUCCAGCCAAAGAUAACUGGUGUAGCAAUCAUCAUAAAAAAUUAAAUAUAGUAAAAGGCAGAAUGCAUUAUCAAGGCUAAGGCAGAUCAUUGAGUAAUAAUACUGGUAACAACCAGGAAUAUGCAACAGUCUGUAAACACCUAACAACAUAGCCUGAAAUGUUUGGUGCACAAACUGAGGGAAUUAGAAGGAGUAAACAUAAUCAUAAUGGGAAAAGCAAAUAGAUAAACAGACCCCAUAUUACUUAGGAUAUGUCUGAACACCUGAUUUCUCUCUUUCACUAAUGGGCAUGCGUAGAGUACUGAAGCCAGUAAUUUUAAAAUACACAUCCUUCCCAAAGCACACAUGCAACAUUUUCCAGAAUUAACCAAAAUUUGAUAAAAUUCUGGUAAAAUUUUACAAUUAAAGGAUAUACAUUUACUUCAAGAAUGUAUACAACUUGAGAAUAUUAGAGAGCAUACACUCUUCUUAAGUGUACAUAUGCAUUUAUUGAAAUUGAACAGAAUUGACCAUUAAUCAUAAGGUGGCAAUAAAUACCAAGAAUUAGUAUCUAAAGAUUGCAGUGCAGGGGCGCCUGGGUAGCUCAGUGGGUUAAGUGUCUGACUUUGGCUCAGGUCAUGAUCUUGCUGUUUGUGAGUUCGAGUCCCACAUUGGGUUCUGUGCUGACAGCUCAGAGCCUGGAGCCUGCUUUGGAUUCUGUAUCUCCCUCUCUCUCUUUCCAUCCGUGCUCAUGCUCUGUUUCUCUCUCUCAACAAUAAAUAAACGUUAAGAAAAACUUUUUUUAAAGAUUGCAGUGCAAUAAAACUCCAAAUCAAUAAUGACAACACCUUUACAUUUGGGAAAUUGUACAUGUACUCCUAAGUGAAGGGUCAGAGAACAGCAGAAAUUGGCAAAACAUUUAGGGCCAAUGAACAGGUGAGCCCUCUCUCUAGUUAUGGUUUAGAAGUGUGAGAGAGACUUUAACUCCUGCCAAGCAACAAGAAAGCCCUACAUAAACCAAAACAAUUAUACUUUCCUUUAAAACCAUCCAAGAGCUGUGGAUACACAGAGAUCUAAAAGAACCAAAUUAUGGAGAGAUAAUGACUUCCUAAGUGAGCAAGAGCAGAAGACACUUUCAAACCUGGGACCAGUGACUCAAACUGCAAAGAGGGUGGGUGGAAGAGCAACCUGACAGGGAAGGACCAUCUAUGCUCAGAGGAGGAGAGAUUGAACUUUAAGAAACCUCAGGGCUAGUUUCACAUUUAGGUCCUUAAUCCAUUUUGAGUGAAAGAAAGUGGUCCAGUUUCUUUCUUUUGUAUAUAGGUGUCUGAUUUUU